CCUACGGGUGGCAGCAGUGAGGAAUAUUGGUCAAUGGACGAGAGUCUGAACCAGCCAAGUAGCGUGAAGGAUGACUGCCCUAUGGGUUGUAAACUUCUUUUAUAUGGGAAUAAAAUGUUCCACGUGUGGCAUUUUGUAUGUACCAUAUGAAUAAGGAUCGGCUAACUCCGUGCCAGCAGCCGCGGUAAUACGGAGGAUCCGAGCGUUAUUCGGAUUUAUUGGGUUUAAAGGGAGCGUAGGUGGAUUGUUAAGUCAGUUGUGAAAGUUUGCGGCUCAACCGUAAAAUUGUAGUUGAAACUGGCAGUCUUGAGUACAGUAGAGGUGGGCGGAAUUCGUGGUGUAGCGGUGAAAUGCUUAGAUAUCACGAAGAACUCCGAUUGCGAAGGCAGCUCACUGGACUGCAACUGACACUGAGGCUCGAAAGUGUGGGUAUCAAACAGGAUUAGAUACCCUGGUAGUC
rnacentral:rRNA from 1 species